ACGGGGAGGGGAUUGGGCCAGAAGGCCUCGGGGAGAAAGGGGCCCGAGUUGUGCCCCCUGUUUAUAUCAAUCAUCUCCUCGUCAAAAAAGCAGCAUUUGCUGGGGGAGGGGGGUUGAGUUGGGAUGAAUUUGGCCCUGAGCUUCCUUCGCCUAAGGCUGCAGGAUGGAAACAUCGCCGUCACCGAAUCAGAGCGUGAGAUGACGUAAUCAAACUGAUCCUAAUUGAUGGAGCACCUACAGAUAAGGUGGCCUCCCACAAACCCUACGAACCACCGAAUCAUCCAAUUAAGGCCCGACCUGGGAAGUCAUUUGGUCUAGCUGCCUUGACAUUUGAGGAAAUUGAGGCCCAAAGGCACAAGAUAGUAACCAAGGGGAUUUGAACCCACAUUCUUUGACACCAAAUUCUGCACUAAGGUGCUUAUUUCAUUCAUUGAGCAAUGGGUACCCUCCGUGCUUAAGCAAAGUAGUACUUUGUGUUCAAAGAGAAAGGAGACUCCGGCCUCUUACUCCUCCUCCCACACAAGAUGAGCGCCACAACGUGCCACGUGACAUUUCUUCAUAUUUAGACUAUAAUGGCUGCAAAGAAGAACGCACAGGAAGGCCAAUGCAGGGCAUCACACUAAAGGCACUGAAUCUUUACGAAUGGCAGAGAAAGAUUCCAAACCAAACAGACAGAUACCUAGACAUUAUGGCAAAGUCCUAUUGGCCUUGCCUUUUGGACAGUCGGGCUAAGGAAAAGAGGGUUGGGCCUAGAUUUAGGCGCCCUGAUUUCAGUCCUAGUUCUGAGGCUUACUGACUCUGGGAUCGUCACUUCAAAUUCCUUAGCCUCUGUUGGCCCAUUUCUAAAAUGGGGAUAAUAUCUUCACUGCCUAUUUCAAAGAGUUGGUAUGAAGAAAGUGCCUUAUAACAACUAUUAACCUAUAUAAAACAUAUUACUCUUA